rnacentral:rRNA from 1 species
AUGGUUGACAUGGUUCUGGCCUGUACAUCUGCAUUUAUCCCUUUCACACUUGGAAGGAUAAUCCUAUUGUGCACAGGUGAAUUCGACUCCUUUGCUGCAACACCCUCUGUCCUCCUAGUCGGAUAUUGGUUUAUCUUCUCGCUGGCGCUGGGUGCCACUUUCGCUUGGCUUCUUCAUACUACUGGGGGCGUCUUCCCGAGACUCGCCAGGGGCUUCCGCGCGCUCUGCCGUCUACCUGAGCUGGCCUGGGACUUCUGCGUCUAUGACCUUGAUAAGUAUGUCGUGGAUGAGCCUAUUGUCAUUGGGCAGAGGUUGGAAGAUGUCGCCGACGGUAGGUGA